ensembl:snRNA U6 U6 spliceosomal RNA
GUGCUCACUUCGGCAACACGUAUACUAAAAUUGAAAUGAUACGGAGAAGAUUAGCAUGGCCCCUGUGCAAGGAUGACACACAGAUUUGUGAAGCGUUCCAUAUUUAA